CCACAACGGGAAAGAGGUUUUUUUGGGUUCAGUUACGCAACUUACGCUUAUAGCCGACGGCCGUAAACAAACGUCACCGUAUUUGGUCCCUCCUUAUCUGUCAUUGGCGUCUGUGAAUCACAGAGAAGUCCUGCAGCAUCAGCUAUCUCACCCUAUUUUUUAUUUAUAUUUUUUGUUCUCAUUUGUGAUGUACUUGUGAACGUUAUCAGCCCAGAUGCAUGAAAGUCAUACUUUUUCUUCUCCCGUUUAGUCAACUGAAAAUUCUCUACUUUUUUCUGUGUUUCUUUAAUUACUGAUUUUGAAAGAGUGAGUAAGGCCUUCAUUUCAAAUUUGAAUGAGGAGCUUCAUGUAAAAUCAAAUUUACACGGCGCUUGCAGGACAGCAGAAAAUUCCAAGAUAUAUGUAAUUGAUUAUCCAGACAGGGUGACUUUCUCAGCUUCUGGUCUCUGUAUUUCAUUUGCUGAAUCUGAAUGAAGCUCAGUUCUGUGGCUCAAUUGUGAUGGUAAUUCAGCCGCCUGGUUUUGCUUGUGGAGGAGAAUCUUAUGAAGGAAUGUGAAGAGAAAGCAGGAAUACCCAGGUCCAUUUCCAAUGGGUAAGCUUUCUUCCAAUCAUUUAAUGUUCAUUCUAAUGUCCAAAUAUUUAGCAGGAAGCUAAAACUUGCUUUAAAUUUACACAACCAAAGAUUUUGAUACAAUCUUACUGCCUUACCUGUGCCUCUCUUGGGUGUUCAAUUUUCUAAAACCCAACUUCAAAAUAAAACCUUUCAUGCAUUGC